UACGUAGGGUGCGAGCGUUAAUCGGAAUUACUGGGCGUAAAGCGUGCGCAGGCGGCUUUGCAAGACAGAUGUGAAAUCCCCGGGCUCAACCUGGGAACUGCAUUUGUGACUGCAAGGCUGGAGUGCGGCAGAGGGGGAUGGAAUUCCGCGUGUAGCAGUGAAAUGCGUAGAUAUGCGGAGGAACACCGAUGGCGAAGGCAAUCCCCUGGGCCUGCACUGACGCUCAUGCACGAAAGCGUGGGGAGCAAACAGG
rnacentral:rRNA from 1 species